UACGGAGGGUGCAAGCGUUGUUCGGAAUUAUUGGGCGUAAAGCGCGUGUAGGCGGCUUUGCAAGUCGGGUGUGAAAGCCCUCAGCUUAACUGAGGAAGUGCGCCCGAAACUGCAGAGCUUGAGUACCGGAGAGGAUGGUGGAAUUCCCCAAGUAGAGGUGAAAUUCGUAGAUAUGGGGAGGAACACCGGUGGCGAAGGCGACCAUCUGGACGGAUACUGACGCUGAGACGCGAAAGCGUGGGUAGCAAACAGG
rnacentral:rRNA from 1 species